rnacentral:rRNA from 1 species
GAUCCUGGCUCAGGAUGAACGCUAGCUACAGGCUUAACACAUGCAAGUCGAGGGGCAGCAUUUUAGUUUGCUUGUAAACUAAAGAUGGCGACCGGCGCACGGGUGAGUAACACGUAUCCAACCUGCCGAUAACUCGGGGAUAGCCUUUCGAAAGAAAGAUUAAUAUCCGAUAGUAUAUUAAAACCGCAUGGUUUUACUAUUAAAGAAUUUCGGUUAUCGAUGGGGAUGCGUUCCAUUAGUUUGUUGGCGGGGUAACGGCCCACCAAG